rnacentral:rRNA from 1 species
UACGAAGGGGGCUAGCGUUGCUCGGAAUCACUGGGCGUAAAGGGUGCGUAGGCGGGUCUUUAAGUCAGGGGUGAAAUCCUGGAGCUCAACUCCAGAACUGCCUUUGAUACUGAGGAUCUUGAGUACGGGAGAGGUGAGUGGAACUCCUAGUGUAGAGGUGGAAUUCGUAGAUAUUAGGAAGAACACCAGUGGCGAAGGCGGCUCACUGGUCCGGUACUGACGCUGAGACGCGAAAGCUAGGGGAGCGAAUGGG